CCUAUGGCGGUCCGCGCCGCUGAGAUGAUGACGACGGGGUCCGAGCCUGCAUUCAUCCUGUAGCUCCGAGGUCUGCUAGCUCUCAGCCUGGUGCUCUCUGCGACUGAGGUGAACUUCUGGACCUAGCUUAACCUUUUCCGGAUUGGCAUCUCCAGUCUCUUCUGGAAGGUCCUUCUCCUCAUCGCUGACAGCUUUUGAGCGCGUAGCCUCUUUACUAACAGAGAUCCUUAGAGCAGUGUAUCUCUGCUGUCCAAUCCUUUCGUACUUACUCAACCAAAUGUCUGCAGAGGCAAGAAGAGGAUGCUGGAUCCCCUGGAACUGGAAUCGCAGAUGGUUGUGAGCUACCCCGUGGUUGCUAGGUACCAAACCCAGUCUCUGCAGGGGCAGUAAGUGCUCUUCACCCUGUGCCCUCUACUUUCCCACUACUCUGGCCACUCUCCAGUCCCCUUUGUGGCUUUACUCUGACUGCCCCUCACCCAACUUUGCAGCAGCUUCCUGGGAAACAGCAUGUCCACCCACCCCAUCACUUCAGUCACCACCCAUUAUGCUAACAACUCUGGAAUCCUAACUUUGUUGCCUGUGAGCAGACUGGCCCUCUCUAAACUUUCUAUGACAACUUAUCACAUCUAACCCAAA